rnacentral:rRNA from 1 species
GACGAACGCUGGCGGCGGGCUUAACACAUGCAAGUCGAACGGAAAGGCACUGCUGUGGCGGGGGGCUCGGUUAGCGAACGGGAGAUUAACAUGUCAGUAGCCUGGCCUCGACUUAGGGAUAAUUUCAGGAAACGUGGGCUAAGACCGGAUAGGAGCUCGGGCUGCAUUGUGGGGGUGGGAAAGUUUCGGCGGUUGGGGAUGGAAUCGCGGCUUAUCAGCUUGUUGGUGUGGUAGUGGCUUACCAAGGCGUUGACGUGGAGCCGGCCUGAGGGGGUGACCGGCCCAAUUGGGAUUGGGAUACGGCACAGCCUCAUACGCGAGGCAGCAGUGGGGAAUGGUGCAUAAUGGGCGGAAGGCUGAUGUAGCCACGCCGCGUGCGGGAUGACGGCAUGGCCGUUGUAUUGCGAAGCCGUCUGUCCCGAAGAGAGAGUGACGGUAAUGGGUAAAGAAGCACCGGCUAACUACGUG